rnacentral:rRNA from 1 species
CGCGCCCUUCGGGGUGAGCGGCGGACGGGUUAGUAACGCGUGGGAAUAUGCCCGACACUAAGGAAUAGCCUCUGGAAACGGAGAGUAAUACCUUAUACGCCCUUCGGGGGAAAGAUUAAUCGGUGACGGAUUAGCCCGCGUUAGAUUAGAUAGUUGGUGGGGUAAUGGCCUACCAAGUCUACGAUCUAUAGCUGGUUUUAGAGGAUGAUCAGCAACACUGGGACUGAGACACGGCCCAGACUCCUACGGGAGGCAGCAGUGGGGAAUCUUGGACAAUGGGCGCAAGCCUGAUCCAGCCAUGCCGCGUGAGUGAUGAAGGCCUUAGGGUCGUAAAGCUCUUUCGCCAGAGAUGAUAAUGACAGUAUCUGGUAAAGAAACCCCGGCUAACUCCGUGCCAGCAGCCGCGGUAAUACGGAGGGGGUUAGCGUUGUUCGGAAUUACUGGGCGUAAAGCGCGCGUAGGCGGAUUAGUCAGUUAGAGGUGAAAUCCCGGGGCUCAACCCCGGAACUGCCUUUAAUACUGCUAGUCUUGAGUUCGAGAGAGGUGAGUGGAAUUCCGAGUGUAGAGGUGAAAUUCGUAGAUAUUCGGAGGAACACCAGUGGCGAAGGCGGCUCACUGGCUCGAUACUGACGCUGAGGUGCGAAAGUGUGGGGAGCAAACAGGAUUAGAUACCCUGGUAGUCCACACCGU